AUUGAACGCUGGCGGCAGGCUUAACACAUGCAAGUCGAGCGGGGUGAUGGUGCUUGCACUAUCACUUAGCGGCGGACGGGUGAGUAAUGCUUAGGAAUCUGCCUAUUAGUGGGGGACAACAUCUCGAAAGGGAUGCUAAUACCGCAUACGUCCUACGGGAGAAAGCAGGGGAUCACUUGUGACCUUGCGCUAAGAGAUGAGCCUAGGUCGGAUUAGCAAGUUGGUGGGGUAAAGGCCUACCAAGGAGACGAUCUGUAGCGGGUCUGAGAGGAUGAUCCGCCACACUGGGACUGAGACACGGCCCAGACUCCUACGGGAGGCAGCAGUGGGGAAUAUUGGACAAUGGGGGGAACCCUGAUCCAGCCAUGCCGCGUGUGUGAAGAAGGCCUUAUGGUUGUAAAGCACUUUAAGCGAGGAGGAGGCUCUUUUGGUUAAUACCCAAGAUGAGUGGACGUUACUCGCAGAAUAAGCACCGGCUAACUCUGUACCAGCAGCCGCGGUAA
rnacentral:rRNA from 1 species